GUGGGGGAUAGCCACUUGAAAAAGUGAUUAAUACCCCAUAGGAAGCUUUAUCCAUGAUUUAGCUUUUAAAGCCUUCGGGCGCUGAGGGAUUGGGAUAUGCUCUAUUAGCUAGUUGGCGGGAUAAAAGCCCACCAAGGCAAUGAUAGAUAGCUGGUCUUAGAGGAUGAACAGCCACAAUGGGAUUGAGAUACGGCCCAUAUUCCUACGGGAAGCAGCAGUAGGGAAUCUUCCACAAUGGACGAAAGUCUGAUGGAGCAAUACCAUGUGAACGAUGAAGGCCUUUUUGGUUGUAAAGUUCUUUUACGAGGGAUAAUUAUGAUAGUACUUCGUGAAUAAGUGACAGCAAACUAUGUGCCAGCAGCUGCGGUAAUACAUAGGUCGCAAGCAUUAUUCGGAUUUAUUGGGCGUAAAGCAAGCGCAGGCGGAUGUGUAAGUUCUGUGUUAAAUGCAGCUACUCAAUAGUUGUAUGCACCGAAUACUACAUGUCUAGAUUGUGGUAGGGAGUUUCGGAAUUAAGCAUGGAGCGGUGGAAUGUGUAGAUAUGCUUAAGAACACCAGAGGCGAAGGCGGAAACUUAGGCCAUAAAUGACGCUUAGGCUUGAAAGUGUGGGGAGCAAAUGGGAUUAGAUACCCCAGUAGUCCACACCGUAAACGAUGGGUAUUAGAUAUUAGGGCUUUAGCUUUAGUGUUGUAGCUUACGCGUUAAAUACCCCGCCUGGGUAGUACAUAUGCAAAUAUGAAACUCAAAGGAAUUGACGGGGACCUGAACAAGUGGUGGAGCAUGUUGCUUAAUUCGAUAAUACACGAAAAACCUUACCAAGGUUUGACAUCCCUCGCAAAGCUAUAGAAAUAUAGUAGAGGUUAUCGAGGUGACAGGUGGUGCAUGGCUGUCGUCAGCUCGUGUCUUGAGAUGUUUGGUUAAGUCCCGCAACGAGCGCAACCCCACUCUUUAGUUACUUGUCUAAAGAGACUGCACAGUAAUGUAGAGGAAGGAUGGGAUCACGUCAAGUCAUCAUGCCCCUUAUGCCUUGGGAUGCAAACGUGCUACAAUGGCGAACACAAUGUGUUGCAAACCAGCGAUGGUAAGCUAAUCACCAAAUUUCGUCUCAGUUCGGAUAGGAG
rnacentral:rRNA from 1 species